AUGUGCUUGGCUGCAUGACACAUGAAGAUACAGCAUAUAUUUAAAGAACUAACACUAGUUCAAAGUACCUGCUUGCAAUUUUAAACACAAGAAUCCAAUACACUUCUAAUGGCAGCAAGGAGAUUGGAAAAAGAAAAGAAAAGAAAAAAAGCACAUACAAAACAGCAAAUCAACAACAGCCAGGCUGAGAGUGCUUAGAAAACCCACUGUAAAUUGUGAGGUGAUGGUGACGCCAGUACAAGUGUCUGUGCCUCUGUUUAGAAUCAGUGGGCUAUCACGCUCUCCAUCGAUCUUCCUCAGCAUGGAUCACUCCAAGUAAACAGAGGAGGACAGCAAGUGCAAUAAAAAGGUGGAACAAUGUUAAUGUUUGCAGAUCCUGUUUCUCAAGAGGAAGUUUUAACUCUUUCUGCACACAGCCACAUUUCAGCCACCUUGCUGUCCCUGUACUUCCUUGUCAUGGCUGGAACUGGAAGCAGGCGGUACUGUGACAACAUAAGAAAGCCCAGACUCGGGGUAAUUUCCUCCCACCUGACGGGAAGCUGGGCAUUCUAGAUGUCUCACAAGAAAGCAUAUGAACAUCAGGCUUCCAAUCUGAAUUUGCAAGCCCAGGUAGUUGGGAAAAAGCUUGGAGAAACAUCCAAACUCUCACAUGCUUGUGCGAACUAAAUAUCUAACCAUCUGAGGUCUCCCCUGUGGUGUAUUUAGUCGUGCAACUGUGAUGCCUUUGGUUUCUGUAUUCUGCACCUUUAAAUCUGCAAGGACUCAGCCGUCUGCAGAGACGGGCAGCCAUUUUGUGUUCAAAUGACUGUAAGUUGUCAGAGGAGCCAUAAACACUGUCUGCCGUC